UACGUAGGGGGGCAAGCGUUGUCCGGAAUCAUUGGGCGUAAAGCGCGUGUAGGCGGCCCGAUAAGUCCGCUGUGAAAGUCCAGGGCUCAACCCUGGGAUGCCGGUGGAUACUGUCGGGCUCGAGUCCGGAAGAGGAGUGUGGAAUUCCUGGUGUAGCGGUGAAAUGCGCAGAUAUCAGGAGGAACACCGGUGGCGAAGGCGGGUCUCUGGGCCGAUAUUGACGCUGAGGAGCGAAAGCGUGGGGAGCGAACAGG
rnacentral:rRNA from 1 species